GAGUCGGUCGGGGGGCAAGAAAGCUAAAAUCAUGUCUCCAGGAACAGGAGAAGCAGAGCGACGAUUGAAUCGGAUCAGAGCAGUUGAUUCGCCGGUCGAAGAGAGAAAACAAACGCAAAUGUUUUGUGCGCUUGUGACGAAUGUUGGAUCGUGAUGAUGACACAACAGUUUGGACGGUUCACGCAAUCUCUGAAUCAGCAGAUGUACCCCGAGGUGUGCGCACACGGCCAAUAACAGGCCUGGUGAAUGAUAAAAAAAAUAAAACAGGAAAAGGUCAGACGAUCCACAGAUGGAAACAUUUGAAUGCAAAACAAGAACAUAAAAAAAAACAAAAAAAACCCAAAAACCUGGUAAAGUCAUCACAAUAUCAUUUGAGAACGGGCAGAGCUCUGGUGAAUUCUCAGCUCAAAAGGAGGAGGACACGAUGCAGGUAAGGGUGGAACAACUGGAGUAUGUGUGGAGACGCUACACUGCAAAACAUAAUGAUGGAGCAGGUAAAGGAGGUGAAGAGGGACCCUUAAAUUCCACCAAAUCCACGUUCGGUCCAGUUCAGCUCUGUCAACAGCAGCGGUUGGGGUUUGCUGUACGACGGAGCUCAUGCAUCCAGUGGAAUUCCAGAUGGAGGGUUACAGAGACCAAGUAAAACAAGAUAAAAUGGA